AGUGAACGCUGGCGGUAGGCCUAACACAUGCAAGUCGAACGGCAGCACAGUAAUAGCUUGCUCUUACGGGUGGCGAGUGGCGGACGGGCGAGGAAUACAUCGGAAUCUACUUUUUCGUGGGGGUUAACGUAGGGAACCUUACGCUAAUACCGCAUACGACCUACGGGUGAAAGCAGGUGAUCUUCGGACCUUGCGCGACUGAAUGAGCGGAUGUCGGAUUAGCUAUUUGGCGGGGUAUAGGCCCACUAAGGCGACGAUCCGUAGCUGGUCUGAGAGGAUGAUCAGCCACGCUGGAACUGAGGCACGGUCCAGGAUGCUACAGGAGGCAGCAGGGGGGAGUAGUGGACAGUGGGCGCAAGCCUGUUCCAUCGAUGCCGCGGGGGUGAAGCAGGCCUUCGGGUUGUAAAGCCCUUUUAUUGGGAAAGAACAGCAGGAGGUUAAUACACCGAUGUUCUGACGGUACCCAGAGAGUAAGCACAGGCUAACCUCGC
rnacentral:rRNA from 1 species